GGGAGGCAUCGAGCUCGGACCCACCCAGUUCUCCAGGAGACGGGGAGUCCGCCAGCGGAUGGGGAUGUAGAACGGGCAGCCUCUAAUGGCGCCUGCUGGUAAGGCGGGGUGCCUGUGGCCAUACAGGAAAGGGGAGCAGCUCCCACCUCGAGGCUCUGUCUGCCUCAGAGAGCCAGCUGUUAAACACUAGCCAACACCCCACUGAUGCUGUUCCUUCUACCUGAAACACCUCGCAUUGCCGGUGAGCUCUAAAGACAAGAGGACCUGGGUCUGCAUUUCCCAAAGGCAAGAAUCUGAACAUACCCCUAACCGUCUCACCUCUGUGCCUUUGUGCAAGCUGCUCCCUCUACCUGGAAACCUCCAUUUGUCAAGCUGCUGCUGUCUUCAAGAUCUUCCUGGUCAGAAUCUCCUGCUGUCCUCUUCUGCCGCCCGCAGCAAUGUGAGCCUUCCCUACUCACUGGAGCAGAGCUACGGCAUCAGAAUGCCCUGGACCAGGGGUUAGAAACACAGAUUUCUGAGUCUGCACUCGAAGAUUUUUUCUUUCUUUCUUUCUUUCUUUUUUUUUGUUUUCCAAUUUUUCUAAUUUUAGAGAUGGGGUCUCACCACAUUGCCCAGGCUGGUCUCAAGCUCCUGGACUCAGGUCAUCCUACCACCUAGGCCUUCUAAAGUGUUAGGAUGAGCCCUGAACCUUGUAACAUGAACAUUUAUUAGUUAUAUCUGGAAAAAAAUAUAAAGUUAUUUUUAUUUGGGUGAUACUGCCUUCAAAAAAAAACAAAAAAAACAGGAGGCCGAGCACAGUGGCUCAUGCCUGUAAUCCCAGUGCUUUGGGAGGCUGAGGCAGGCGGAUCACUUGAGGCCAGGAGUUCAAGACCAGCCUGGCCAACAUAGUGAAACCCCGCUUCUAUUGAAAAUACAAAAAUGGGCCAGGCGCGGUGGCUCAUACCUGUAAUCCCAGCACUUUGGGAGGCCAAGGCGAGUGAAUAACGAGGUCAAGAGAUCAAGACCAUCCUGGUAAACAUGGAGAAACCCUGUCUUUACUAAAAAUACAAAAAUUAGCUGGGCACGGUGGCACGUGCCUGUAGUCCCAGCUACUAGAGAAGCUGAGGCAGCGGAAUCGCUUGAACCCAGG
rnacentral:lncRNA from 1 species